GACGAACGCUGGCGGCGUGCUUAACACAUGCAAGUCGAACGGAAAGGCCCUGCUUUUGUGGGGUGCUCGAGUGGCGAACGGGUGAGUAACACGUGAGUAACCUGCCCUUGACUUUGGGAUAACUUCAGGAAACUGGGGCUAAUACCGGAUAGGAGCUCCUGCUGCAUGGUGGGGGGUGGAAAGUUUCGGCGGUUGGGGAUGGACUCGCGGCUUAUCAGCUUGUGGGUGGGGUAGUGGCUUACCAAGGCUUUGACGGGUAGCCGGCCUGAGGGGGUGACCGGCCACAUUGGGACUGGGAUACGGCCCAGACUCCUACGGGAGGCAGCAGUGGGGAAUAUUGCACAAUGGGCGGAAGCCUGAUGCAGCAACGCCGCGUGCGGGAUGACGGCCUUCGGGUUGUAAACCGCUUUCGCCUGUGACGAAGCGUGAGUGACGGUAAUGGGUAAAGAAGCACCGGCUAACUACGUG
rnacentral:rRNA from 1 species